rnacentral:rRNA from 1 species
GGGGGGACGGAGAAGGCUAGGUGGGCCUGGCGACGGUUGUCCAGGUUCAAGUGCGUAGGCUUAAGAGUUAGGUAAAUCCGGCUCUUUUUUAAGGCUGAGACACAGACGUCGAGCACCUACGGGUGUGAAGUCAUUGAUGCCAUGCUUCCAGGAAAAGCCUCUAAGCUUCAGAUUGUAAGGAAUCGUACCCCAAACCGACACAGGUGGUCGGGU